rnacentral:rRNA from 1 species
GACGAACGCUGGCGGCGUGCUUAACACAUGCAAGUCGAACGGAAAGGCCCUGCUUUUGUGGGGUGCUCGAGUGGCGAACGGGUGAGUAACACGUGAGUAACCUGCCCUUGACUUUGGGAUAACUUCAGGAAACUGGGGCUAAUACCGGAUAGGAGCUCCUGCUGCAUGGUGGGGGUUGGAAAGUUUCGGCGGUUGGGGAUGGACUCGCGGCUUAUCAGCUUGUUGGUGGAGUAGUGGCUUACCAAGGCUUUGACGGGUAGCCGGCCUGAGAGGGUGACCGGCCACAUUGGGACUGAGAUACGGCCCAGACUCCUACGGGAGGCAGCAGUGGGGAAUAUUGCACAAUGGGCGGAAGCCUGAUGCAGCAACGCCGCGUGCGGGAUGACGGCCUUCGGGUUGUAAACCGCUUUCGCCUGUGACGAAGCGUGAGUGACGGUAAUGGGUAAAGAAGCACCGGCUAACUACGUG